AACCACAAGAAGUCCUACCACCAGUGC
rnacentral:sRNA from 1 species